rnacentral:rRNA from 1 species
UUGCUAGUAAUCGCGGAUCAGCAUGCCGCGGUGAAUACGUUCCCGGGCCUUGUACACACCGCCCGUCACACCAUGAGAGUCGGGAACACCCGAAGUCCGUAGUCUAACCCGCAAGGGAGGGCGCGGCCGAAGGUGGGUUCGAUAAUUGGGGUGAAGUCGUAACAAGGUAGC